rnacentral:rRNA from 1 species
AUGGACGUGCAGAUGGGCGAGCCGCAGGCGGCCCCUCCUUCCGCCGCCGUAGAGGCGGCGCCGGCCCCCUCCACCCUCCACCAUCUGAAGGAGAUCGCCGCGGUGAUCGAGGCGGGGUCGCUCUCCAAGGAGGUCCGCCGGAUCUCCCGCGCCGUCCGCCUCACCGUCGCCCUGCGCCGCCGCCUCGCCGCCCGCGACGUCUCGGCCUUCCUCGCCUUCGCCCUCCCGGUCUCCAGCGACGCAUACGCCCGCCUCACUCCCCUCCUCCCCAAGGAAGAUGAAGCUGAGAUGGAUAUUGAUGCAGCAGCUCCAGCAACUCAGAUUUCUAUCAAGCAUGGCCUUCCUGAGAUUGAAAUAUAUUGUUCUUUGCUUGUUCUGAUUUUCCUCAUUGAUCAGAAGAAAUACGACGAGGCUAAAGCAUGCGCAACUGGAAGCAUUGCUCGUCUGAAGAACUUGAACAGGAGAACUGUUGAUGUUUUGGCUUCUAGACUAUACUUUUAUUAUUCAUAUGUGUAUGAACUUACAAACACCCUUGCUGAAAUUCGUGGUAAUCUCCUUGGGUUACAUAGAAUGGCAACUUUACAUCACGAUGAGCUUGGUCAGGAAACCCUGCUCAACCUGCUUCUCCGCAAUUACCUCCACUAUAACUUGUAUGACCAGGCAGAGAAACUUAGGUCGAAGGCACCACGUUUUGAAGCCCAUUCCAACCAGCAAUUCUGCCGGUACCUCUUCUACUUGGGGAAAAUCAGAACAAUUCAGUUGGAGUACACUGAUGCUAAAGAAAGCCUCCUGCAAGCUGCUAGGAAGGCACCGGCUGCAGCUCGUGGUUUUAGGAUUCAGUGCAAUAAAUGGGCUAUCAUAGUAAGGCUGCUUCUUGGGGAGAUCCCAGAGAGGACUGUUUUCAUGCAGAAAGGAAUGAAGGAAGCUUUGGCACCAUAUUUUGAGCUUACAAAUGCCGUCAGGAUUGGCGAUUUGGAACUGUUUAGAGCUGUUGCAGACAAAUUUGCAAGCACAUUCAGUGCAGACAGGACUCACAAUUUGAUCGUGAGGCUCCGCCACAACGUCAUUCGAACUGGACUACGCAACAUCAGCAUUUCAUACUCGCGGAUCUCCCUUGCUGAUAUUGCGAAGAAGCUAAGGCUAGACACUGAGAAUCCUGUUGCUGAUGCGGAGUGCAUCGUAACCAAGGCCAUAAGAGAUGGUGCAAUUGAUGCCACCAUAGACCAUGCAAAUGGCUGGAUGGUGUCGAAAGAAACUGGCGAUGUCUACUCGACAAAUGAACCCCAGGCUGCAUUCAACUCCAGAAUCGCUUUCUGCCUCAACAUGCAUAAUGAAGCGGUCAAGGCCAUGAGGUUCCCCCCGAAUUCUCAUAAGGAAAAGGAGAGCGCUGAGAAGCGCCGAGAAAGGCUCCAGCAGGAGGAAGAGCUGGCAAAGCACAUGGCCGAGGAGGAUGACGAUGAUUUUUAA